GCCGGGAACGCCUUAGGGAUCCUACUGGACCCUGCGCAGGCCAUAUACAACUCUGAGAGCCCAACGAGACGGGACCUUUUCCUCCCAUCCUCCCUCUCCAACUUAUCACCUCGAACGCGGAAUCACUACCGACCUUCUCCAAGAGGUCCUACCCCUCCCCCUCAGUUAACAUCCCCAUCCCCGGUACACGGGAGAUUCACACCCACAAUAUGCUCCACAAAACAGAGACGCUU